GACUCUGUGGCGUUUCGCAAUGGUAGUGCGUCUGGCUCCAGUCCAGAAGAUUGCGUGUUCAAAUCACGUCAGGGUCA
rnacentral:tRNA from 1 species